rnacentral:rRNA from 1 species
AGGAUGAACGCUGGCGGCGUGUCUAACACAUGCAAGUCGAACGUCCUGUCUCGCAAGAGGCAGGGAGUGGCGGACGGGUGAGUACCACGUGGGUCAUCUACCGUGAGGUGAGGAAUACCGGCGAGAAAUCGCCGACAAGACCGCAUAGCCUCGGUGCAAGCCGAGGAAAGCUUUCUCGAGAGAGGGAGCGCCACACGAGGAGCCUGCGCCCGAUUAGCUAGCUGGUGGAGUAACGGUUCACCAGGGCGACGAUCGGUAGCUGGUCUGAGAGGACGAUCAGCCACACUGGGAUUGAGAACGGCCCAGACUCCUACGGGGGGCAGCAGUGAGGAAUUUUCGUCAAUGGGGGCAACCCUGAACGAGCAACGCCGCGUGCAGGAGAAGGUUUUCGGAUCGUAAACUGCUUUUCUCGGGGAAGAGAACGGACGGUACCCGAGGAAUCAGCCCCGGCUAACUACGUGCCAGCAGCCGCGGUAA